ensembl:lncRNA
GCCCCUUGAGUACUUUGCUCCUCUCUCUGAAAACCUAGAUCCAGUAGGAGGCCAUAGGAAAGUUUGGCUUUACAGAAAUGUGGAAAGUUUCCCUUCCAAGAGCACUGGAGCAAGCAGACACCACACAGAGAUGAAGCAGGUGAGCAUAAUAUAAAUAGGAGCACCCUUGUGAAUGUAGCAUUCCAGCCCCUCACACAAUCUUCAACAAUUAAGGAAUGGGAAGAAGUAUGUAGAGUAUGAAUUGAGCCAUACCAAGAAUAAGUGACUUACCCAAGGUCACACACCAAUAGCUGGUGGAACUGGAACUUGCUCCAUUUUUUUCAGAUUCUAAAUUCAUUUACUCCAGCAUUCAACAAUCACUAAAGAAUGCAGGGUUGGCACUGUGCUGUCUUUUGGAAUAUAAGAAACAAUAGGACACAGUCCCUGCCUUGGUAAAGCUUACAGUCUAGGGUGGGGAAGAUAGUCAAGUAAACAAGAAACAGUAAUACAGGCUUGGCUAUGGUUUAUUAAGGAAAUUACCGGGAAUGAUGGGAUCACUUGAGGGACCCCAGCCCAGGGGCACAGAGGCAGUGAU